AAGUCGUAACAAGGUUUCCGUAGGUGAACCUGCGGAAGGAUCAGUAGAGAUUUCCGGCGCAAGCCGGUACCUACCCACACACACCUGUGACCCGUUAUUUGGACGCGGAUUAGCUCCGGCGAAACCGUCCUGUCACAAAACAUCUUAUAAUGUCACGAACGUAGUCUUAUUUUAACAAAUAAAA
rnacentral:misc_RNA from 1 species